GUUCUCUUUGGGAGCACAUAUGUUAAAAUUGGAAAGAUGCAGAGUAGAUUAACAUGACCUUUGCACAAGGAAGACAAGCAAAUUUGUGGAACACUCCAUAUUUUU